AUGCAAGUCGAACGAUUCCUGUAUCUUCGGAUACAGGGAGUGGCAAACGGCUGAGUAACGCGUAGGAACCUACCCCAAACCCGAGUAUAGCCCCGCGAAAGCGGGGGUAAUCCUCGAUAGCCCGUGAAGUAUUUUACUUCACGGUAAAGCUUUUGCGGUUUGGGAUGGGCCUGCGUCCUAUCAGGUAGUUGGUGAGGUAAAUGCUCACCAAGCCUAUGACGGGUAGCUGGUCUGAGAGGAUGGUCAGCCAGACUGGGACUGCGACACGGCCCAGACUCCUACGGGAGGCAGCAACUAGGAAUUGUGCGCAAUGGACGAAAGUCUGACGCCGCGACAUCGCGUGGAGGAUGAAGGUCUUCGGAUUGUAAACUCCUUUUCUUACCGAACAAGUUCUGAGUGUAGGUAAGGAAUAAGUGCCUGCUAACCACGUGCCAGAAGCAUCGGUAAUACGUGGGGCACGAGCGUUAUCCGGAUUUACUGGGCGUAAAGAGAAGCGUAGGCGGCUCAAUAAGUUUGGUGUUAAAUCUUCCGGCUCAACCGGAAACAAGCACCGAAAACUAUCGAGAUUGAGUCGAGUAGGGAAGAGGGGAAUUCCUGGUGGAGCGGUUAAAUGCGUAGAUAUCAGGAGGAAUACCAAGGGCGAAGGCACCUCUUUGGACUCGUACUGACGCUGAGGCUCGAAAGCGUGGGUAGCAAAACGGAUUAGAUACCCGUGUAGUCCACGCCGUAAACGAUCCCUGUUAG
rnacentral:rRNA from 1 species